UUGCUUGUUGUGGAAGCAAAUAUACUUGAACUAGAAAGGAUGCAAAGAAGAUUAGCAUUAGCCCCUGCGUGAGUAUGAUACACAAAUUCAUGAAGCAUUUCCUGUUUUU
ensembl:snRNA U6 U6 spliceosomal RNA